rnacentral:rRNA from 1 species
UACGGAGGGGGCUAGCGUUGUUCGGAAUUACUGGGCGUAAAGCGCACGUAGGCGGCUUUGUAAGUUAGAGGUGAAAGCCCAGGGCUUAACCCUGGAAUUGCCUUUAAGACUGCAUCGCUAGAAUCGUGGAGAGGUGAGUGGAAUUCCGAGUGUAGAGGUGAAAUUCGUAGAUAUUAGGAAGAACACCAGUGGCGAAGGCGGCUACUGGCCGGUGACUGACGUCUGAGUGCGAAAGCGGUGGGGAGCAAAAGCA